UUCCAGACAUCGAAUGAAAUU
rnacentral:piRNA from 1 species